rnacentral:rRNA from 1 species
GGGCGUAAAGCGUGCGCAGGCGGUUCGGAAAGAAAGAUGUGAAAUCCCAGAGCUUAACUUUGGAACUGCAUUUUUAACUACCGAGCUAGAGUGUGUCAGAGGGAGGUGGAAUUCCGCGUGUAGCAGUGAAAUGCGUAGAUAUGCGGAGGAACACCGAUGGCGAAGGCAGCCUCCUGGGAUAACACUGACGCUCAUGCACGAAAGCGUGGGGAGCAAACAGGAUUAGAUACCCUGGUAGUCCACGCCCUAAACGAUGUCAACUAGCUGUUGGGGCCUUCGGGCCUUGGUAGCGCAGCUAACGCGUGAAGUUGACCGCCUGGGGAGUACGGUCGCAAGAUUAAAACUCAAAGGAAUUGACGGGGACCCGCACAAGCGGUGGAUGAUGUGGAUUAAUUCGAU